GCCUAACACAUGCAAGUCGAACGAGCGGUUUUGCGGAAGUUUUCGGAUGGAAGCGGAAUUGACUGAGUGGCGGACGGGUGAGUAACGCGUGGAUAACCUGCCUCAUACAGGGGAUAACAGUUAGAAAUGACUGCUAAUACCGCAUAAGCGCACGGGGAACGCAUGUUUCUGUGUGAAAAGCCGAGACGGUAUGAGAUGGAUCCGCGUCUGAUUAGCUAGUUGGUGAGGUAACGGCCCACCAAGGCGACGAUCAGUAGCCGACCUGAGAGGGUGACCGGCCACAUUGGGACUGAGACACGGCCCAAACUCCUACGGGAGGCAGCAGUGGGGAAUAUUGCACAAUGGGGGAAACCCUGAUGCAGCGACGCCGCGUGAGUGAAGAAGUAUUUCGGUAUGUAAAGCUCUAUCAGCAGGGAAGAGAAUGACGGUACCUGACUAAGAAGCCCCGGCUAACUACGUGCC
rnacentral:rRNA from 1 species